AGUGAACGCUGGCGGUAGGCCUAACACAUGCAAGUCGAACGGCAGCACAGUAAGAGCUUGCCCUUACGGGUGGCGAGUGGCGGACGGGUGAGGAAUACAUCGGAAUCUACUUUUUCGUGGGGGAUAACGUAGGGAAACUUACGCUAAUACCGCAUACGACCUACGGGUGAAAGCAGGGGAUCUUCGGACCUUGCGCGAUUGAAUGAGCCGAUGUCGGAUUAGCUAGUUGGCGGGGUAAAGGCCCACCAAGGCGACGAUCCGUAGCUGGUCUGAGAGGAUGAUCAGCCACACUGGAACUGAGACACGGUCCAGACUCCUACGGGAGGCAGCAGUGGGGAAUAUUGGACAAUGGGCGCAAGCCUGAUCCAGCCAUACCGCGUGGGUGAAGAAGGCCUUCGGGUUGUAAAGCCCUUUUGUUGGGAAAGAAAAGCAGCAGGUUAAUACCCCGCUGUUCUGACGGUACCCAAAGAAUAAGCACCGGCUAAUUUCGU
rnacentral:rRNA from 1 species